rnacentral:sRNA from 1 species
AGCGGAUGACAUAGUAU